CUUUCGAUGUCGACGGGAGGAAACUGUCACGCAGGCCACCAACCGGCGGUGGAGGGCGCGGUGCCGAGUCCUGCCACUGCAGGGUCGCCCCGCUGGCUCAAGCUCUAGAAGCGUAGACCUCCCCAGCCGCAAAAAGCAACUCACGCGGCGAAACCGCGGACUCUUUUGACCCUUCCGAGCUACCAUUUACUUUCCAUAGAGGGGCGGGACUUCCUGUUUCGCUUUUAUCUUGUCUCGCUCUUCCGCCCAGUCUCGAGUGCAGUGGUGAGAACACGGCUUACUGCAGCCUCAAAAUCCUGGACCCAAAAGAUCCUCCCACCUCAGCCUGCCUCCCAGGUAGCUGGGACUACAGGCGCACAACACCAUCGCUUCUUGGAUUAAAAGAAAAGGAUGAAACGGGCCCCAGAAAGAGGCGGUGACGUCCCAGAACCCAUGGCAGGGGAGUUGGGAAAAUAAAUAUUUGUAUUGUUUUAAUCUCCCUUGUGGCUUUUUUUAACCCCCGAAACAGCAAGGUAUUUUUAAAAGGGAUGAAGAGAGUUGCUUCAAAUGUUUUGAGACGUUGUUAUUUUUAAUAUGUGAGUGAAUAUCUUAGAAACAAAAUGAACAAGAAAUAAAAAUUUUAGAAAAUAUAUGA
rnacentral:lncRNA from 10 species